AGAGUUUGAUCCUGGCUCAGGAUGAACGCUGGCGGUAUGCUUAACACAUGCAAGUCGAACGGAUGUUUUCGGACAUUAGCGGCGGACGGGUGAGUAACGCGUGAGAAUCUGGCUUCAGGUUCGGGACAACAGUGGGAAACUGCUGCUAAUACCGGAUGUGCCUAGGGGUAAAAGAUUAAUUGCCUGAAGAUGAAGCUCGCGUCUGAUUAGCUAGUUGGUAGGGUAAGAGCCUACCAAGGCGACGAUCAAGUAACUGGUCUGAGAGGAUGACCAGUCACACUGGGACUGAGACACGGGCCAGACUCCUUCGGGAGGCACANUGGGGAAUUUUCCGCCAAUGGGGCAAAGCCUGACGGACCAAUACCGCGUGAGGGAGGAAGGCUCUUGGGUUGUAACCUUCUUUUCUUAGGGAAGAAUACUUGCGGGACCUUAAGAAAUAAGCAUCGGCUAACUUCCGUGCCAGCAGCCGCGGUAUACCGGAAGAAUGCAAGCGUAUCCGGAAUGAUUGGGCGUAAAAGCGUCCGCAGGUGGCAUUGCCAGGUCUGCUUGUCAAAGGUCAGGGCUUAACCCUGAACAGGCAGUGGAAACUGCAGAGCUAGAGUGUGGUAGGGGCAGAGGGAAUUCCCAGUGUAGCGGUGAAAUGCGUAGAGAUUGGGAAGAACACCGGUGGCGAAAGCGCUGUAGGCCAUAACUGACACUCAGGGACGAAAGCUAGGGGAGCGAAUGGGAUUAGAUACCCCAGUAGUCCUAGCCGUAAACGAUGGAUACUAGGCGUUGUUCGUAUCGACCCGAGCAGUGCCGAGCUAACGCGUUAAG
rnacentral:rRNA from 1 species